CCCUAGUUUAUUUGCUUCAGCUGGCAGCUCUGGUUGUCGCCCGUCACCAAACAACAAGCACUCGCUGGUUCUAGUGAAAAAUAUGAUGGAUUAUAAAUAUGCUUGUUUUAUAAAUAUAAUAACUUACAUAAUCUCCGUUACUAAUGAUAGAAACCAUGAUUUACACAGCGGAAACAAAUCAUGAUGAAACAAGCAUGGAGGCAAGCCAAAACCAUAUGUAAAAGACUAACUGAAAACGCCCACAAUCUCCUACAAUCUUCUGCUAUUUACCUUAUCAAUUUUCCGGACUAUGAUUUCUGAGUGGGCAGAAAAAACAAUAGCUAGGGUACAUCACUCUCUUUUCUGUUUCUAAUAUAUAUCUCUUCGAUGGGAAGAAGACCACUUUGUUAGAAACUCUUUUUUCUGUUUCUAAUAUAUAUCUCUUCGAUGGGAAGAAGACCACUUUCUUAGAAACUCUUAAGCACAUAAUUUGCUUCAAGAAAAAAGAUAUAAGCGUGACUCUCUUUCCCUUAAAAUGCUCAUUUUAAAUAAAUUAGAUUAUCUAUUUUUAAUUAAAUAAAAUUUAAUUAAAAACUAAUCUAUCAUUUAUUUAAAACACAUAAUUCAUGUAUAGUCCAAACAAUUAAGGCACAGCAGGGACCGCAGGAAUAAAAUUAACAAGGCUACUAAUUAUAAUAAGAAUUCAUACAGGACCAGUAUAUUCUCAUUAUAAUUAAUCACAAAUUAUACCACUAAAAAUUCAUGAUUGAACUCCUUAUUAAUCUUACAAUUCCAUUACAUAAUAAUUUAUGUUUCCCACGUUAAGAUUACAGAUGCUAUUUACAUGAAACAAAUUACUGACAAUUUAUUUGAGUAACAAUAGAUCUUCAAGAUUGUCGCUUAACUUAAUUCAUGUGUCGGAUAAAAAUCCACCUGCAGGGUUUACACUAUGAAACCUUAUAAGCUUACUUAAAGUGCAUCAUCAAUCUCUAUACCGAGACGUGGAUUCAAUCAUUAUUUAAUACAUCGCAAACAUAAAGCGUCUUUGUCCAACUCAUCGAGUCAUAUCGCUCCAAUAAAUGAAACUCACUCUUUAAUGAAUCAAAACACAAGAUAUUUUAUAUUUGUUCAUAUUAAUUAAAUCAUGAUUAAAAACAUAAAUCUUAUUUCUAAUGUCCUAGAGAAUAUGUUUUAAUAGUCAGUACAAAACAUCCAUUCUCUACUUGGUCCAGUUAGUUAUAUAUAAAAUAUACUAACACAAUUAUUAUUAAAUUCUGCCGAAAGAUUAAUUUAUCUAAUGCAAAUCUCCAAUUAAAUACAAAGAAAUAAUUGUUUAUAGAAUGACAUCAUAAUAACAUACUAUUAAAUUCACGCUUAUGCAUGGUUAAUAGUAUAUCUCUAUCAACUAAUCCUUUAUGUACCUUGGUGUUCUUAGCCAUCCACUUAUUUUUGCUCAAUCCCCCAUUAUGGUACUACAUAUAUGUUAAUACAUAGAAAAGAUAGUGAAAACAAAACUCCAUACAAUUGGUCUUUUGAACCCGCUUCAAGUCGUGAUUGAUGCCUAAUCAAUCAAUCUUGGGAUAAAUAAACAGUCUCUACUGCUUACUUAUGUUUAUUUCCGCUUAACUCUUGUACAUAGGAAAUGAGACUCGAUCCUUUUACUGCGAAUUUAUAAGCUGUUUGAUUUAGUUUAUCAACCCGAAUGAUCUAUAAAAAAUGACG
rnacentral:lncRNA from 1 species